rnacentral:rRNA from 1 species
UACAGAGGUCUCAAGCGUUGUUCGGAUUCAUUGGGCGUAAAGGGUGCGUAGGCGGCGCGGUAAGUCGGGUGUGAAAUCUCGGAGCUUAACUCCGAAACUGCAUUCGAUACUGCCGUGCUUGAAGACUGGAGAGGAGACUGGAAUUUACGGUGUAGCGGUGAAAUGCGUAGAUAUCGUAAGGAAGACCAGUGGCGAAGGCGGGUCUCUGGACAGUUCCUGACGCUGAGGCACGAAGGCCAGGGGAGCAAACGGG